UACAGAGGGUGCAAGCGUUAAUCGGAAUUACUGGGCGUAAAGCGCAUGUAGGUGGGUAUGCAAGUUUGAUGUGAAAGCCCUGGGCUUAACCUGGGAAUGGCGUUGAAGACUGUGUAUCUAGAGUUUGACAGAGGGUCGUGGAAUUUCCGGUGUAGCGGUGAAAUGCGUAGAGAUCGGAAAGAACACCAGCGGCGAAGGCGGCGACCUGGGUCAAAACUGACACUGAGAUGCGAAAGCGUGGGGAGCAAACAGG
rnacentral:rRNA from 1 species